UGGGGGAUAUUGCACAAUGGGCGAAAGCCUGAUGCAGCGACGCCGCGUGGGGGAUGAAGGCUUUCGGGUUGUAAACCUCUUUCGCUAUCGAACAAGGCCCGCUUAGGGUGGGUUGAGGGUAGGUGGAGAAGAAGCACCGGCUAACUCCGUGCCAGCAGCCGCGGUAAUACGGAGGGUGCAAGCGUUAAUCGGAAUUACUGGGCGUAAAGCGCACGCAGGCGGUCUGUCAAGUCGGAUGUGAAAUCCCCGGGCUCAACCUGGGAACUGCAUUCGAAACUGGCAGGCUAGAGUCUUGUAGAGGGGGGUAGAAUUCCAGGUGUAGCGGUGAAAUGCGUAGAGAUCUGGAGGAAUACCGGUGGCGAAGGCGGCCCCCUGGACAAAGACUGACGCUCAGGUGCGAAAGCGUGGGGAGCAAACAGG
rnacentral:rRNA from 1 species